UAUACCCGUUAAGGCAUGAUGGCCUGUACCCGAAACCGACACAGGUGGGGUGGUAGAGAAUACCGAGGGGCGCGAGGUAACUCUCUCUAAGGAACUCGGCAAAAUGGCCCCGUAACUUCGGGAGAAGGGGUGCCACCGCAAGGUGGUCGCAGUGAAGAGGCCCAGGCGACUGUUUACCAAAAACACAGGUCUCCGCUAAGUCGCAAGACGAUGUAUGGGGGCUGACGCCUGCCCAGUGCCGGAAGGUUAAGGAAGCUGGUCAGCGUAAGCGAAGCUAGCGACUGAAGCCCCGGUGAACGGCGGCCGUAACAAUAACGGUCCUAAGGUAGCGAAAUUCCUUGUCGGGUAAGUUCCGACCCGCACGAAAGGCGUAACGAUCUGGGCGCUGUCUCGGAGAGAGGCUCGGCGAAAUAGAAUUGUCUGUGAAGAUGCGGACUACGUGCACCCGGACAGAAAGACCCUAUGAAGCUUUACUGUAGCUUGGUAUUGUGCUCGGGCUCGGAAUGCGCAGGAUAGGUGGGAGGCUAUGAACCAUUGCUUGCGGGUGAUGGUGAGCCACUGGUGAGAUACCACUCUUUCCGAGCUAGAGUUCUAACAGCCACCCGUUAUCCGGGGGCUGGACAGUAUCAGGUGGGCAGUUUGACUGGGGCGGUCGCCUCCUAAAAGGUAACGGAGGCGCGCAAAGGUUUGCUCAGGCUGGUUGGAAAUCAGCCGACGAGUGUAAAAGCAGAAGCAAGCUUGACUGUGAGACCUACAAGUCGAACAGGGAGGAAACUCGGCUUUAGUGAUCCGACGGUUCUGCGUGGAAGGGCCGUCGCUCAACGGAUAAAAGUUACUCUAAGGAUAACAGGCUGAUCUCCCCCAAGAGUUCACAUCGACGGGGAGGUUUGGCACCUCGAUGUCGGCUCAUCGCAACCUGGGGCUGAAGUCGGUCCCAAGGGUUGGGCUGUUCGCCCAUUAAAGCGGUACGCGAGCUGGGUUCAGAACGUCGUGAGACAGUUCGGUCCAUAUCCGGUGCAUGCGCAGGAAUAUUGAGAGGAUUUCUCCCUAGUACGAGAGGACCGGGAGGAACGCACCUCUGGUGUACCAGUUAUCGUGCCAACGGUAAACGCUGGGUAGCCAUGUGCGGAGAGGAUAACCGCUGAAAGCAUCUAAGUGGGAAGCCCACCUCAAGAUGAGUAUUCCCAUGGGGUAACCCAGUAAGGUUACGGGAAGAACACCCGUUGAUAGGCUCUACGUGGAAGCGCAGUAAUGUGUGAAGCGGAGGAGUACUAAUAGACCGAGGGCUUGAC
rnacentral:rRNA from 1 species